rnacentral:rRNA from 1 species
CUGGUGUGAGAGCACGACCAGUCACACGGGCACUGAGAUACGGGCCCGACUCCUACGGGAGGCAGCAGUAAGGAAUAUUGGUCAAUGGGCGCAAGCCUGAACCAGCCAUGCCGCGUGAAGGAUGAAGGCCCUCUGGGUCGUAAACUUCUUUUAUCGGGGAAGAAAUGUCCUGUUUCUACGGGAUUUGACGGUACCUGAGGAAUAAGCACCGGCUAACUCCGUGCCAGCAGCCGCGGUAAUACGGAGGGUGCAAGCGUUAUCCGGAUUUACUGGGUUUAAAGGGUGCGUAGGCGGGCCCAUAAGUCAGUGGUGAAAUCCUCCGACUCAAUCGGAGAACUGCCAUUGAUACUAUGGGUCUUGAAUACAGUUGAGGUGGGCGGAAUGUGUCGUGUAGCGGUGAAAUGCUUAGAUAUGACACAGAACACCGAUUGCGAAGGCAGCUCGCUAAACUGAUAUUGACGCUGAGGCACGAAAGCGUGGGGAUCAAACAGGAUUAGAUACCCUGGUAGUCCACGCCCUAAACGAUGAUUACUCGAUCUGUGCGAUACACUGUACGGGUCUAUGCAAAAGCAUUAAGUAAUCCACCUGGGGAGUACGACCGCAAGGUUGAAACUCAAAGGAAUUGACGGGGGUCCGCACAUGCGGUGGAGCAUGUGGUUCAAUUCGAUGUACGCGAGGAACCUUACCUGGGCUAGAAUGCAUUCAGACCGGUGCCGAAAGGUGCUUUCCCCGCAAGGGGCUGUUUGUAAGGUGCUGCAUGGCUGUCGUCAGCUCGUGCCGUGAGGUGUUGGGUUAAGUCCCGCAACGAGCGCAACCCCCAUCAUUAGUUGCCAUCGGGUAAAGCCGGGGACUCUAGUGAAACUGCCUGCGUAAGCAGUGAGGAAGGAGGGGACGACGUCAAGUCAUCACGGCCUUUAUGUCCAGGGCUACACACGUGCUACAAUGGCGGGUACAAUGGGUCGCAACACAGUGAUGUGAAGCCAAUCUCAAAAAGCCCGUCUCAUUUCAGAUCGAAGUCUGCAACUCGACUUCGUGAAACUGGAAUCGCUAGUAAUCGCGCAUCAGCAAAGGCGCGGUGAAUACGUUCCCGGACCUUGUACACACCGCCUGUCAAGCCAUGGAAGCCGGGUGUACCUGAAGACGAUAACCGUAAGGAGUCGUUCAAGGUAAAACCGGUGACUGGGGCUAAGUCAGAACAAGGUA